GAUGAACGCUGGCGGCGUGCCUAAUACAUGCAAGUCGAGCGAACAGAUCAGGAGUUUGCUCCCCUGACUUUAUCGGCGGACGGGUGAUUAACACGUGGUUAACCUACCUAUAAGACUGGGAUACCUUUGGGAAACCGGAGCUAUUACCGGAUAAUUUAUUGACCCGCAUGGUUCACUAGUUAAAGACGGUUUUGCUUUCCCUUAUAGAUGAAUCCGGGCCGCAUUAGUAAGUGGGUAAGGUAACGGCUUACCAAGGCAGCGAUGCGUAGCCGACCUGAGCGGGUGAUCGGCCACACGGGAAGUGAGACAGGGUCGAGACUCCGACGGGAGGACGCAGUAGGGAAUCUUACGCGAUGGGCGAAAGCCUGACGGAGCAACGCCGCGUGAGUGAUGAAGGUCUUCGGAUCGUAAAACUAUGUUAUUAGGGAAGAAGAAAUGUGUAAGUAACUAUGCACGUCUUGACGGUACCUAAUCAGAAAGCCACGGCUAACUACGUG
rnacentral:rRNA from 1 species